UACAGGGGGUGCAAGCGUUGUUCGGAAUUACUGGGCGUAAAGGGCUCGUAGGUGGCCAACUAAGUCAGACGUGAAAUCCCUCAGCUUAACUGGGGAACUGCGUCUGAUACUGGAUGGCUUGAGUUUGGGAGAGGGAUGCGGAAUUCCAGGUGUAGCGGUGAAAUGCGUAGAUAUCUGGAGGAACACCGGUGGCGAAGGCGGCAUCCUGGACCAACACUGACACUGAGGAGCGAAAGCCAGGGGAGCAAACGGG
rnacentral:rRNA from 1 species